rfam:Paracoccus sphaerophysae strain HAMBI 3106 Contig_75, whole genome shotgun sequence.
GAGAGGUUGGCGCGGGCAGGCGCCUCGCCAAACCGGUCAGGUCCGGAAGGAAGCAGCCGUAACGAUUCCCGUCUGGGUCGCUGUCCAGCCUCUCACC